rnacentral:lncRNA from 1 species
AAAUCUCAGAAACUUCCUAUGCUGUGGUCUUUACUUUCAACGUGAUUAACAUCAGCAUGCCAGAGGACCCUGUGUCUAGAGGCAAAACCACCCAGCAAGUGCAAGAUACCAUCAAUAAUGCGCUGAACACUCUUCUGAAUGAACCUGGCAGUCCAACUUUACAACCCAAGACCGCCAACUUCACGUAAGAUGCAAAUGGACAUUGGAAACUUCACUUUGUCUCCAUAUAUUUUAGCUUAUUAAAUUAAUCCAAAUCAUUUAGUAGUAGUAGAAGUAGUGUCAGCUGUGCAAUUUCCAUGAAUUAUGUUUCAAUAUGGAUGGAAGUCCUUUAACAACACAUUUUGUUUGUAUUGCAGGAUCACUUCAAACCAGAUUGAUGGCAAGAUGGAAUACAGCUUCCAGGAUGGAGAUGUCAUACAACCAGUCAGCUUCCUCAAUGAGCUACGUCAACCAACCACUACUACAGUGUUUCCAGAAACAACAUUUGGUUUCUCUGUGACUCCUUCAAACCUCAUGUAAGUGUUGUAUUGCUUUUUUGAGAACAAUAAAAUAAUUAAAGAAAGAAUGUUAUUGCAAAACUUUGAUGUACAUUAAACAAAAGUGGUUAUAUUUACAGAUCUGGUUCAGCAGUGGUCACAAGCAAGCUGGUGUUCAACUCCUCAUCUCCAGUGCCCAGUGAAUCUCUGGUCCUCAGUGCUAUCAAUACUCUCCGUCAAUCCAGAGAGUCACAGCUCAAUGAAUCGUUGAAGGUGCUGAAUGUCACCUAUGAGAGUAAGUGUAAUAAUUUUCCCUUCAAAAGAUUUGAAAUGUGAUUAAGUUAUACAAUGAUGUAUAAUGGGCUUUUGACAAAUCCUCAAACUACCAUUUCCUUCCAAACAGAAAUCUCAGAAACUUCCUAUGCUGUGGUCUUUACUUUCAACGUGAUUAACAUCAGCAUGCCAGAGGACCCUGUGUCUAGAGGCAAAACCACCCAGCAAGUGCAAGAUACCAUCAAUAAUGCGCUGAACACUCUUCUGAAUGAACCUGGCAGUCCAACUUUACAACCCAAGACCGCCAACUUCACGAUCACUUCAAACCAGAUUGAUGGCAAGAUGGAAUACAGCUUCCAGGAUGGAGAUGUCAUACAACCAGUCAGCUUCCUCAAUGAGCUACGUCAACCAACCACUACAACAGUGUUUCCAGAAACAACAGCCAGUGUUUCUGUUACUACUCCCAACCUCAUAUCUGGUUCAGCAGUGGUCACAAGCAAGCUGGUGUUCAACUCCUUAUCUCCAGUGCCCAGUGAAUCUCUGGUCCUCAGUGCUAUCAAUACUCUCCGUCAUUCCAGAGAGUCACAGCUCAAUGAAUCGGUGAAGGUGCUGAAUAUCACCUAUGAGAGUAAGUGUCAUAAUUUUCCCUUCAAAAGAUUUUAA